AAUAGGGGAGCUGGCGCACGCCGGCUGAGAGGUAGCCCAUCGCGGCUGCGACCCUCCAACCUGAUCUGGGUAAUGCCAGCGUAGGGACGAGCGCA
rnacentral:ncRNA from 1 species